UACGUAGGGUGCGAGCGUUGUCCGGAUUUAUUGGGCGUAAAGAGCUCGUAGGCGGUCUGUUGCGUCCGCUGUAAAAACUCGGGGCUUAACCCCGAGCCUGCAGUGGAUACGGGCAGACUAGAGGGAGGUAGGGGCAUGCGGAAUUCCCGGUGUAGCGGUGAAAUGCGCAGAUAUCGGGAAGAACACCCGUGGCGAAGGCGGCUCUCUGGGACGGUACUGACGCUGAGACGCGAAAGCGUGGGGAGCGAACAGG
rnacentral:rRNA from 1 species